rnacentral:rRNA from 1 species
AGAACGAACGCUGGCGGCAGGCUUAACACAUGCAAGUCGAGCGCCCCGCAAGGGGAGCGGCAGACGGGUGAGUAACGCGUGGGAACAUACCCUCCGGUUCGGAAUAGCUCAGGGAAACUUGGAUUAAUACCGGAUACGGCUUAGCGGCGAAAGAUUUAUCGCCGGAGGAUUGGCCCGCGUUCGAUUAGCUAGUUGGUGAGGUAACGGCUCACCAAGGCGACGAUCGAUAGCUGGUCUGAGAGGAUGAUCAGCCACAUUGGGACUGAGACACGGCCCAAACUCCUACGGGAGGCAGCAGUGGGGAAUAUUGGACAAUGGGCGCAAGCCUGAUCCAGCCAUGCCGCGUGAGUGAUGACGGCCUUAGGGUUGUAAAGCUCUUUCGCUAGGGACGAUAAUGACGGUACCUAGACAAGAAGCCCGGCUAACUUCGUGCCAGCAGCCGC